AAGACAAAAUAACCAACUUUUAAUGAAGCUAGAUCAAGGCAUGCUUAUCUUCUGCCACUAUGUAUAUUCUCGUCAAUGGCAGCCCAUCUGGUGAGUUUCCUCUGCAACGUGGUAUAAGACAAGGAGAUCCUUUGUCUCCCUUUCUUUUCCUCAUCAUAGUUGAAGGAUUUAACUGUAUUAUGCAAAGGGCAAUCUCUCUUAACAUGUUUGAGGGAGUUUUUAUUGGGAAAGAGAAUGCUCUUGUGAGUCAUCUUCAACGAUACGGUUAUUAUUGGAAAAGCCUUAGUCAGCAAUGCUAAGCUCAUCAAAGGCAUUCUUCUGUUGUUUGAAAUAUCCUCUGGUCUUAGAGUGAAUUUUUCUAAGAGCUCCAUCCAUGGCAUUCAUUUGAAUUAUUUGGAGACUUCCUACUUUGCAGACAUCAUUGGAUGCAAGUGUUUCUGUUAGGCCGUCAAUAUCUGAUACAUUCUCGUGGAAAGGGGCAAGCAAUGGAAAUUUUUUAACUAAAGAGAUGUAUUCCUUGCAUCACAAAGCUUCACUUAAUGAGGAAAGCAUUCCGGUGGCUUUUCGUAACAUUUGGUCGAGGCAUAUCCCGAGCAAGGUUUCUUCUUUCACUUGGAGGGCUCUUCAAGAUAGAAUUCCGACAAGAUCCAACCUGUUAAGGAGAAGAGUCGCUCUCCAGAACGACGACUACAACUGCCCAUUUUGUCAUUCUCUUGAAUAAAGCUCUGAUCACGUUCUUAUCUCUUAUCAAUUCGCCGAUUCUAUUUGGAAGGGAUUAUGUUGCUGGCUCAAGGUUUCGUUUCUCUCUUCAAUGUCUCUUUUGGAUCAUUUUUAUGAGUUCGUCAACUUGGGAAAGAAUAAGGACGCAAAGAUGAUGUUCAAUGUCAUUUGGCAAUGCGCUUGUUGGAAGAUUUAUAAAGGAAUGAACGAUAAGAUCUUUAAUGAAGGGUGUCCGGAUAUUGGUAGGAUUGUUGAUGGCAUUAUUAUUUGUAUAUGGAGGUGGUUCAGGGCGAGCUCUCCUUUCUAUUUUUGUGUUUCUUCUCAUUGUUGGUUCUCUGACCCUAUUGGAUGCUUCCGAUCUAGGUUUUCCUAGAUGUUUUUCUUUGGUUGGUGUAUGGACACUAGGGCUGUAUACAAACCGAGCCGAGCCGAAUACCUCCAGGCUCGGGCUCGGUUCGUGAUGAUUUGGUUCGGCUCGAGCUUGAAUUCGAGCCUAAAAAUGAGCUCGAGCUCAGCUCGCUUAUAUAAUACCAAGCUCGAGUUUGGUUCGAA